rnacentral:hammerhead_ribozyme from 1 species
ACACUACUGAAGAGUCCCACAACAGGACGAAACGGCCGUCCAGUGC